CCUGGCUCAGCCUGUACGCUAGCUACAGGCUUAACACAUGCAAGUCGAGGGGCAGCAUGGUCUUAGCUUGCUAAGGCCGAUGGCGACCGGCGCACGGGUGAGUAACACGUAUCCAACCUGCCGUCUACUCUUGGACAGCCUUCUGAAAGGAAGAUUAAUACAAGAUGGCAUCAUGAGUCCGCAUGUUCACAUGAUUAAAGGUAUUCCGGUAGACGAUGGGGAUGCGUUCCAUUAGAUAGUAGGCGGGGUAACGGCCCACCUAGUCUUCGAUGGAUAGGGGUUCUGAGAGGAAGGUCCCCCACAUUGGAACUGAGACACGGUCCAAACUCCUACGGGAGGCAGCAGUGAGGAAUAUUGGUCAAUGGGCGAGAGCCUGAACCAGCCAAGUAGCGUGAAGGAUGACUGCCCUAUGGGUUGUAAACUUCUUUUAUAAAGGAAUAAAGUCGGGUAUGGAUACCCGUUUGCAUGUACUUUAUGAAUAAGGAUCGGCUAACUCCGUGCCAGCAGCCGCGGUAAUACGGAGGAUCCGAGCGUUAUCCGGAUUUAUUGGGUUUAAAGGGAGCGUAGAUGGAUGUUUAAGUCAGUUGUGAAAGUUUGCGGCUCAACCGUAAAAUUGCAGUUGAUACUGGAUAUCUUGAGUGCAGUUGAGGCAGGCGGAAUUCGUGGUGUAGCGGUGAAAUGCUUAGAUAUCACGAAGAACUCCGAUUGCGAAGGCAGCCUGCUAAGCUGCAACUGACAUUGAGGCUCGAAAGUGUGGGUAUCAAACAGGAUUAGAUACCCUGGUAGUCCACACGGUAAACGAUGAAUACUCGCUGUUUGCGAUAUACUGCAAGCGGCCAAGCGAAAGCGUUAAGUAUUCCACCUGGGGAGUACGCCGGCAACGGUGAAACUCAAAGGAAUUGACGGGGGCCCGCACAAGCGGAGGAACAUGUGGUUUAAUUCGAUGAUACGCGAGGAACCUUACCCGGGCUUAAAUUGCAGAUGAAUUACGGUGAAAGCCGUAAGCCGCAAGGCAUCUGUGAAGGUGCUGCAUGGUUGUCGUCAGCUCGUGCCGUGAGGUGUCGGCUUAAGUGCCAUAACGAGCGCAACCCUUGUUGUCAGUUACUAACAGGUUCCGCUGAGGACUCUGACAAGACUGCCAUCGUAAGAUGUGAGGAAGGUGGGGAUGACGUCAAAUCAGCACGGCCCUUACGUCCGGGGCUACACACGUGUUACAAUGGGGGGUACAGAGGGCCGCUACCACGCGAGUGGAUGCCAAUCCCCAAAACCUCUCUCAGUUCGGACUGGAGUCUGCAACCCGACUCCACGAAGCUGGAUUCGCUAGUAAUCGCGCAUCAGCCACGGCGCGGUGAAUACGUUCCCGGGCCUUGUACACACCG
rnacentral:rRNA from 1 species